UGCGUUGACGCUGAGAAUUGAAGCAGGUUACAGUCUGGUAUUUUAGUCUCGUGUUCGACAACUGAAGGUGCUGCGUUGACGCUGAGAAUUGAAGCAGAAUGUUGUAUAUCAAAUUAUUCGUGUUUUGUCUGGUUGUUCUAAUGAUUAUUUCGAUGGGAACAGCAAUGGGCCCACGGCAUUCUUCAAUACUCCCACAUCGUAAAUUUAUUGAAGACGAUCCUGAUUUGCUGGAAACUUGGUGAAUUGCGGACCGGGACCUGGAAUACGAUAUUUUCUUUGGUGCAUGUUUAAGGAUAUAUAAUGAGGAAAAUAUGUUAUAAUAAAAGCUAUAUUUAGUGUGAUUACUCUUUGAAAAUUAUGUAUACCCAAUAUACUAUA